AAACACUUUCUUAAAAUACUUAUGUAUUUAUAUCAUUUGGAAAGUGACAUGAAAUAUUGCUAAAGAGUGAUGCAUACAGUGUUUGAGCAGUCUGUCUAGGAAUAGAAAAACAACUGAAGUUGAUGGAAGAUACUGCAGAGUUUGGCAGGGAAAUAAUCCAACAGCAAAGCGGCUCUUUAAGCGCAUUUACCUAGAGGACUUACAGGGCCACAAAUUCAUGAGCACAUGUGAGCAGUAUACAAUGUACCUCAUACCAAAAAGGACCUGGAGGCAGUGACUGGUGUUCAAUAUUCUCAGAAGAAAAGGAAAAUGGCAGUGGAAGACUUGGACAAACAUUUUUAGCCUCUGUGUUAAGCCUGGCAGUCUGUGGCU